rnacentral:rRNA from 1 species
UACGUAGGGUGCAAGCGUUGUCCGGAAUUACUGGGCGUAAAGAGUUCGUAGGCGGUUUGUCGCGUCGUUUGUGAAAGCUCACAGCUCAACUGUGAGCCUGCAGGCGAUACGGGCAGACUUGAGUACUGCAGGGGAGACUGGAAUUCCUGGUGUAGCGGUGAAAUGCGCAGAUAUCAGGAGGAACACCGAUGGCGAAGGCAGGUCUCUGGGCAUUAACUGACGCUGAGGAGCGAAAGCAUGGGGAGCGAACAGG